rnacentral:rRNA from 1 species
GCAGUCGACGGCAGCAGCAGGAACAAUCCCUUCGGGGUGCGUUCCUGGCUGGCGAGUGGCGGACGGGUGAGUAAUACAUAGGAAUCUGCCCAGUAGCGGGGGAUAGCCCGGGGAAACUCGGAUUAAUACCGCAUACGCCCUACGGGGGAAAGCAGGGGAUCUUCGGACCUUGCACUAUUGGAUGAGCCUAUGUCUGAUUAGCUUGUUGGUAGGGUAACGGCCUACCAAGGCGACGAUCAGUAGCUGGUCUGAGAGGACGAUCAGCCACACCGGAACUGAGACACGGUCCGGACUCCUACGGGAGGCAGCAGUGGGGAAUAUUGGACAAUGGGGGAAACCCUGAUCCAGCAAUGCCGCGUGUGUGAAGAAGGCCUGCGGGUUGUAAAGCACUUUCGGUUGGGAAGAAAAGCUCAGUGCUAAUACCAUUGAGUCUUGACAUCACCAACAGAAGAAGCACCGGCUAACUCCGUGCCAGCAGCCGCGGUAAUACGGAGGGUGCGAGCGUUAAUCGGAAUUACUGGGCGUAAAGCGCGCGUAGGUGGCUUGUUAAGUCGGUUGUGAAAGCCCCGGGCUUAACCUGGGAAUUGCAGUCGAUACUGGCAAGCUAGAGUGUAGUAGAGGGAAGCGGAAUUCCAGGUGUAGCGGUGAAAUGCGUAGGUAUCUGGAGGAACACCAGUGGCGAAGGCGGCUUCCUGGACUAACACUGACACUGAGGUGCGAAAGCGUGGGUAGCAAACAGGAUUAGAUACCCUGGUAGUCCACGCCCUAAACGAUGAGAAC